rnacentral:rRNA from 1 species
GACGAACGCUGGCGGCGUGCCUAAUACAUGCAAGUCGAACGCUGAAGGAGGAGCUUGCUUCUCCGGAUGAGUUGCGAACGGGUGAGUAACGCGUAGGUAACCUGCCUGGUAGCGGGGGAUAACUAUUGGAAACGAUAGCUAAUACCGCAUAAGAGUAGAUGUCGCAUGACAUUUGCUUAAAAGGUGCAACUGCACCACUACCAGAUGGACCUGCGUUGUAUUAGCUAGUUGGUGAGGUAACGGCUCACCAAGGCAACGAUACAUAGCCGACCUGAGAGGGUGAUCGGCCACACUGGGACUGGGACACGGCCCAGACUCCUACGGGAGGCAGCAGGAGGGAAUCUUCGGCAAUGGACGGAAGUCUGACCGGACAACGCCGCGGGAGUGAAGAAGGGUUUCGGAUCGGAAAGCUCUGUUGUAAGGGAAGAACGAGUGUGAGAGUGGAAAGUUCACACUGUGACGGUAUCUAACCAGAAAGGGACGGCUAACUACGUG